UGGCAACUUAUUCAAAUUUGUAUAUCAUCCCCUUCUAAGCACAUUUAUGGAUUUGAUCCUUUUUUCCACCAUCUUACAUUUCCAAGCAGGCCCAGGACGUAACUGUAUGAGGUUUAGGUUGCUUGCCUGUCAACUCUAUUUUUUGUUUGAUCAUAUCCCAAUUUAGAAUGAAAAAUGCUUUUAUUUCUUGUUGUAUACCUGGCACAUAUAUAAAAUUCCUACAUCUGUGGAUUUGUUGCAGUUAAUCAGUUUCAUAGAUAUGUUACACUCCUCAUCCAUGACCUAAUACAGAGGACUUCCACGGUUCCAUCAAAUGGAUUAAAGGGAUACUCUUAAUGAAGUGGUUUGGGUGCAAAAUUCCUCUCCUUUUAACAGUGUAGCGUAAAAUAUCACUGUUCUGCACUGCAUGGUUUAAAUGCCUCUAGUGGCUAUCACACUGACAGCCGCCAGAGGUACUUCCACAGAAAUAGCCCAGUAUAACAUGGCUAUUUUAUUUAGAUGGUCUCUGACGCCAGUCGCAUGAAUAUUGUGUGUGUCGACAUGAUGCAUCCAAUAUCUGCAGAUCUUAUAUUAGCCAGCCUGGAACUCUAGUUCUGAACUAGUAUGUAGCCCCCGCCUCCCCCAUAUGAUGUUGCAGGAGGUGGAGCUACACCUCCAGCAGCAAAGGAGUUAAUCUCAUGUACAGAGUUUGAUAAUGAAACACUGCACAUACAGACUCCAGGAACCAUGAGCAUUUCAAAUCACUGAAGUAGUCAUGGUGCUUGAAGUAAACCUUUAAUUAUAAACAUGUUACUAAUGCAGAGUGCUGAAACAUUGCUACAGAGAUUACUCACAGAGAACUCAUAAAAUUUCCGAUCAAAUAAUGCAUCUUCUCUAAAGCAUCACUUGCUUGACAAACUGUGCUGCACAGAGUCCUGUAACGCAUAAACAAGGCUCCAGCCCCCAAAUAUACACUCUUCCUCAAACUAUGACCAGCAUCUACCUAUGCUCCUCCAACUAGAACCAGAAGUCUCAACCCAUGUUCUGCUACUACAACAAGCACUAGCCUCAACCCAUGUUCCAUCCAUGCUCUGUCCUCAGACCAGCACCAGCCUCCACCCAUGCUCUGUCCUCAGACCAGCACCAGCCUCCACCCAUGCUCUGUCCUCAGACCAGCACAAGCCUCCACCCAUGCUCUGUCCUCAGACCAGCACAAGCCUCCACCCAUGCACUGUCCUCAGACCAGCCUCCACCCAUGCUCUGUCCUCUAACCAGCACCAGCCUCCACGCAUGCUCUGUCCUCAGACCAGCCUCCACCCACCCACGCUCUGUCCUCAGACCAGCCUCCAUCCACCUAUGCACUGUCCUCUAACCAG